rnacentral:piRNA from 1 species
UGUUUAGAUUGAGUGGAUGUU